rnacentral:rRNA from 1 species
UGGGGAAUAUUGCACAAUGGGCGCAAGCCUGAUGCAGCCAUGCCGCGUGUAUGAAGAAGGCCUUCGGGUUGUAAAGUACUUUCAGUCGGGAGGAAGGUGUCAAGGUUAAUAACCUUGGCAAUUGACGUUACCGACAGAAGAAGCACCGGCUAACUCAGUGCCAGCAGCCGCGGUAAUACGGAGGGUGCGAGCGUUAAUCGGAAUUACUGGGCGUAAAGAGCACGCAGGCGGUUGAUUGAGUCAGAUGUGAAAUCCCCGGGCUUAACCCGGGAAUUGCAUCUGAUACUGGUCAGCUAGAGUCUUGUAGAGGGGGGUAGAAUUCCAUGUGUAGCGGUGAAAUGCGUAGAGAUGUGGAGGAAUACCGGUGGCGAAGGCGGCCCCCUGGACAAAGACUGACGCUCAGGUGCGAAAGCGUGGGGAGCAAACAGG